UACGGAGGGUGCGAGCGUUGUCCGGAAUUACUGGGCGUAAAGGGUGCGUAGGCGGUCGGGUAAGUCUGAUGUGAAAUCUCACAGCUUAACUGUGAAACUGCAUUGGAUACUAUCCGGCUAGAGGAAUGGAGGGGAGACUGGAAUACUUGGUGUAGCAGUGAAAUGCGUAGAUAUCAAGUGGAACACCAGUGGCGAAGGCGAGUCUCUGGACAUUUCCUGACGCUGAGGCACGAAAGCCAGGGGAGCAAACGGG
rnacentral:rRNA from 1 species